CCUGAACUCAAUCAUUGCUGCAAGACAAGAACAAGAACCCAGGCAAACACAAACAACUGUUUUUGGAUUAUGACCCAUGAAUAAGCAUGACUCAAUAUGGUUAGAGGAUGGCCAUUCUCCCAUCUGCUGUUUGAUUUGCUUGUCCUUCCUGUCAAAAGCAAACAAACAAACCAACAACAAACAUGCAUGAGUUCAGGAGACCUGGGAGAUCAGACACCUGAUUUCACUAUAUGAAGACCUUUUUCUUGAAGUGACAGAAAAGACAACAUGCAUCUCUAAGACCUGUUCAAUCAAAGGGGUGAGUCACCUUCACAUGGAGUCUGGAGCUUUGUGUGUCCCAGGCCAGAGCUGGUAGCAAAAUCCUGAAACACCAGGCUUAGGAGAGCUGAAAGUACCCUGAUAGACUCCAUCAGACUGUUUGCAAUGAAACCCUAUCUUUGUAAAAUGCUAAUCAGAGCCAGCAAAUAUCCAAGCAUCCCAAGAUGAGAAACUCAUCCACCUAGUACUCUGCUGAUGGUCUAGCAGGAGAUCAUUUUCUAAGGGCCACUGUGCCUUAGGACAUCACUCUUCGGACAUCUUAAAGGUACAUUAUAAAAGAAGUUAAUAUGAAGAUAAAUUGUUUGCUGGAAGGAAAAAGAAGAGGAAAGAAAGAGAAGAAACAAAAGAAAGAGUGAGCAAAGAGCAGAAGCCUCCUUGAUCUAGCCAUCACUUGGCUGAAUGGGAGGCACAGGUUCACAUUACACUCCUUUGGAAUGAUAAUCACACCCUUCUUUGAGGCUGACACACCACUGGGAGGAUUAUCUUUGCAGGGCAGCCCAGAUCCUUCUCACUGAUAAAGCUGCUGUAUCUGAAAAGUAUUUGGCAGAACUGUCACCAUACACACAAACAGAGGAGCUGACUCUCCUAACCUCAGAGGCUUGGUAUGGGGAGUUGUCUGCAUCAGCUCCUGUGCCCUUCAGAUCAACUCUACAAAUCACCUCUGCAACUUGGAGAAGAAAACACGGUUUCCUUGGGGAGCUUUGAGGUGGUUUUAUUAAUGGUUUCCAAACCUUCUGAGGUAACAUUUUCAAGGGCUAAAAAGAAU
rnacentral:lncRNA from 1 species